AAGUGGCUGGAUUCCUUCUAAAUUAGAGGCAAUUCGAUUAAAUCUGAAUUGGCUUAACCCUACUGCGCUAACCGAACUAGAUAAUGGUGCAGUAGGGGUAAAUUCUCCGCAUUCGGUGCGG
rfam:Human echovirus 25 strain JV-4 complete genome.